CUUUACCAAACCGCCAGCGAACUUGACAAUUGUAUUGCGAUGGCGUGGGCUGCGUGACGUCACCUCCGGUCGUGUCUCUGGUCUCCGUGUUUUCCAGUUAAUUACAUCCUCAUGCAGCCGUGAUCAAGGGAAUGUAACUGCUGAAAACUAGCUCGUGAUUGGCAUAUAAUGGAGUUAACGGGUCAUGGAAUGGAAACGGUGAGGCCCCAGUGGCUGUUCUGGAAGAAACAGAUCUCCUGGCAAAGGCCCCAGCAUCUCCCUCACUGAAACCAGGUGGCCGGCUCCUCGGACUCUGCUUUAUGUUGCGGUGAGAACUCUGCCCAGGUGUGCAGGGUUUGGCUUGUGGGCUGCUUGCUGCUCAUCUGAUUUUUGUCCCAGUAGUCCCUGCGUUCUUCAUUCAACCCCUUCUGGGACUUCAGCUCAGAGAGCACCAUCCCGGGGGUCAGGGCCUCCCCACAGGAGCCCUGCAGUGUGGUAGCGCCAUGGCUGUCUCAAACCAAGCAAAGGAAGGACCCUGAGGCCUUCACGCUAACCGUC
rnacentral:lncRNA from 1 species